AUAUGAUAAUGACCUCCUCACCCAGCUCAGCACAGACCAUGAGGUAUCAGUCCAUAUGAUAAUGACCUCUUCACCCAGCUCAGCACAGACCAUGAGGUAUCAGUCCAUAUGAUAAUGACCUCCUCACCCAGCUCAGCACAGACCAUGAGGUAUCAGUCCAUAUGAUAAUGACCUCCUCACCCAGCUCAGCACAGACCAUGAGGUAACAGUCCAUAUGAUAAUGACCUCCUCACCCAGCUCAGCACAGACCAUGAGGUAUCAGUCCAUAUGAUAAUGACCUCUUCACCCAGCUCAGCACAGACCAUGAGGUAUCAGUCCAUAUGAUAAUGACCUCCUCACCCAGCUCAGCACAGACCAUGAGGUAACAGUCCAUAUGAUAAUGACCUCCUCACCCA